rnacentral:rRNA from 1 species
AUAGCGUAUAUUAAAGUUGUUGCAGUUAAAAAGCUCGUAGUUGAAUUUCGGGAUCAAGGAAUCGGUCAUGCCUUGGUAUGUACUGGUUUUAUUGGUUCUCACCUUCUAAAGAACCAUAAUGUCAUUUAUUUGAUGUUAUGGGGAAUUAGGACUGUUACCUUGAAAAAAUUAGAGUGUUUAAAGCAAGCUUACGCUUGAAUACAUUAGCAUGGAAUAAUGAAAUAGGACAUCAGAUUCUAUUUUGUUGGUUUCUAGGAUCGAUGUAAUGAUUAAUAGGGAUAGUUGGGGGCAUUAGUAUUCAAUUGUCAGAGGUGAAAUUCUUGGAUUUAUUGAAGACUAACUACUGCGAAAGCAUUUGCCAAGGAUGUUUUCAUUAAUCAAGAACGAAAGUUAGGGGAUCGAAGACGAUCAGAUACCGUCGUAGUCUUAACCAUAAACUAUGCCGACUAGGGAUCGGAUGAUGUUA